rnacentral:lncRNA from 1 species
AGUAAGCACACUAGUCUUAUCUAAUAGUAUAGGAUAUGUAAUCGCAUGUUUGAAAAUAAUAAUCUAGACAGAGAUCACAAUGAGUAGAGAAUGAUUGUCAUACAUUAGUCCUUGAAUCCAUUGAAAUACAUGGCAUUUGAUCCACCUUGAUGGCAAGACCCAACUAGCAUAAGCCCUCAAGGCUUACAAAGUUGAAGAUUUG